GACGAACGCUGGCGGCGUGCUUAACACAUGCAAGUCGAACGGUAAGGCCCUUCGGGGUACACGAGUGGCGAACGGGUGAGUAACACGUGGGUGAUCUGCCCUGCACUUCGGGAUAAGCCUGGGAAACUGGGUCUAAUACCGGAUAGGACCACUGCCUGCAUGGGUGGUGGUGGAAAGCUUUUGCGGUGUGGGAUGGGCCCGCGGCCUAUCAGCUUGUUGGUGGGGUGAUGGCCUACCAAGGCGACGACGGGUAGCCGGCCUGAGAGGGUGAACGGCCACCCUGGGACGGAGAUAGUGCCCAGACUCCUACGGGGGGCGGCAGUGGGGAAUAUUGCACAAUGGGGGCAAGUCUGAUGCAGCGACGCCGCGUGAGGGAUGACGGCCUUCGAGUUGGAAACCUCUUUCGGCACCGACGAAGCGCAAGUGACGGUAGGUGCAGAAGAAGGACCGGCCAACUACGUGCCAGCAGCCGCGGUAA
rnacentral:rRNA from 1 species